UGAAUAUUAACCUCAUUCCCUUGUUUGUGUUAUAUUGUCGUCUACUUGUGGCAUAUAAAAAUCCUGUACUCGCUGUUUUAAAAAUAAUUAAAGAGUUCAAGGAAGUGUCCAUUUUUUUUUUUUGCUCAGUAUUUUCACUAUUUAUUUUUGGUAUAUUAAAUAUUUUUAAGUGUUUUUAAUGCUAUAGUGAAGAUGCAUAAACG